CCUUCACUUGGGACGUGGUAUACACGUAAGGUAGUUGGUUUGCUUCGGCUGGGUGUCAGGGUGAUGUACUCUCGAUUAUCAAUUUUAAUGGAUUGUUUAGUAGCAGCGUCAAAAGCUUGGAUAUUCACCAAGUUCUGGUGAAGUAGCACGACCGUUCUUUGAAUCUGUCGAUCUCUAGGAAUAUUGAUGAUAUUAAGAGGUGCUGGCAUGUUUGUCGUCAAAUAAAUAUCUUUGCCAUAGCUGUUCUUCACACCAAAUGCAACGUAGUAAACAUCU